rnacentral:tRNA from 1 species
GGACAGGUGGCCGAGUGGUUGAAGGCAGCAGACUGUAAAUCUGCCCGGGUAAUGCCGAACGGUGGUUCGAAUCCAUCCCUGUCCA